GGCGGCACCGGAAUUUGCUGAAGCUUUGAAUGAAGAUAACAAUGUUGGAGCCAUGCUGUUCAAUAUUAAGGUCAAUGGACAGGUUAGAUGGAAAGUCGGGAGCUGGAUUUCGGGCAGAUAUCGGCUAAACGCGAACUGCCCGGCGUAUAUAAAGUUUGGUGAUCCAAAGAAUGGAAUUGCUUUCGGACCCGCCAUGAAGUUUCAGUUCGUUCAGGGCUGUUAUGUUGAUAUUUGAGAUCUCUCAAAGUCCCCUUUAUUUGUACUUCUUUUUCUUUUUCCAUGUUCCUUAAAAAGUAUCUGUUAACGUAGUUGCCAACAGCAAUGAAAACUAAUAGAAUUAUAGUUAUUCUUGAUUAUUUUGUUACUA